rnacentral:rRNA from 1 species
CGCUAGCUACAGGCUUAACACAUGCAAGUCGAGGGGCAGCAUGGUCUUAGCUUGCUAAGGCCGAUGGCGACCGGCGCACGGGUGAGUAACACGUAUCCAACCUGCCGUCUACUCUUGGACAGCCUUCUGAAAGGAAGAUUAAUACAAGAUGGCAUCAUGAGUCCGCAUGUUCACAUGAUUAAAGGUAUUCCGGUAGACGAUGGGGAUGCGUUCCAUUAGAUAGUAGGCGGGGUAACGGCCCACCUAGUCUUCGAUGGAUAGGGGUUCUGAGAGGAAGGUCCCCCACAUUGGAACUGAGACACGGUCCAAACUCCUACGGGAGGCAGCAGUGAGGAAUAUUGGUCAAUGGGCGAGAGCCUGAACCAGCCAAGUAGCGUGAAGGAUGACUGCCCUAUGGGUUGUAAACUUCUUUUAUAAAGGAAUAAAGUCGGGUAUGGAUACCCGUUUGCAUGUACUUUAUGAAUAAGGAUCGGCUAACUCCGUGCCAGCAGCCGCGGUAAUACGGAGGAUCCGAGCGUUAUCCGGAUUUAUUGGGUUUAAAGGGAGCGUAGAUGGAUGUUUAAGUCAGUUGUGAAAGUUUGCGGCUCAACCGUAAAAUUGCAGUUGAUACUGGAUAUCUUGAGUGCAGUUGAGGCAGGCGGAAUUCGUGGUGUAGCGGUGAAAUGCUUAGAUAUCACGAAGAACUCCGAUUGCGAAGGCAGCCUGCUAAGCUGCAACUGACAUUGAGGCUCGAAAGUGUGGAUAUCAAACAGGAUUAGAUACCCUGGUAGUCCACACGGUAAACGAUGAAUACUCGCUGUUUGCGAUAUACUGCAAGCGGCCAAGCGAAAGCGUUAAGUAUUCCACCUGGGGAGUACGCCGGCAACGGUGAAACUCAAAGGAAUUGACGGGGGCCCGCACAAGCGGAGGAACAUGUGGUUUAAUUCGAUGAUACGCGAGGAACCUUACCCGGGCUUAAAUUGCAGAUGAAUUACGGUGAAAGCCGUAAGCCGCAAGGCAUCUGUGAAGGUGCUGCAUGGUUGUCGUCAGCUCGUGCCGUGAGGUGUCGGCUUAAGUGCCAUAACGAGCGCAACCCUUGUUGUCAGUUACUAACAGGUUCCGCUGAGGACUCUGACAAGACUGCCAUCGUAAGAUGUGAGGAAGGUGGGGAUGACGUCAAAUCAGCACGGCCCUUACGUCCGGGGCUACACACGUGUUACAAUGGGGGGUACAGAGGGCCGCUACCACGCGAGUGGAUGCCAAUCCCCAAAACCUCUCUCAGUUCGGACUGGAGUCUGCAACCCGACUCCACGAAGCUGGAUUCGCUAGUAAUCGCGCAUCAGCCACGGCGCGGUGAAUACGUUCCCGGGCCUUGUACACACCGCCCGUCAAGCCAUGGGAGCCGGGGGUACCUGAAGUACGUAACCGCAAGGAUCGUCCUAGGGUAAAACUGGUGACUGG